rnacentral:rRNA from 1 species
AUUGAACGCUGGCGGCAUGCCUUACACAUGCAAGUCGAACGGCAGCACGGGAGCAAUCCUGGUGGCGAGUGGCGAACGGGUGAGUAAUACAUCGGAACGUGCCCAAUCGUGGGGGAUAACGCAGCGAAAGCUGUGCUAAUACCGCAUGAGAUCUACGGAUGAAAGCAGGGGACCGCAAGGCCUUGCGCGAAUGGAGCGGCCGAUGGCANAUUANGUAGUUGGUGAGGUAAAGGCUCNCCAAGCCUGCGAUCUGUAGCUGGUCUGAGAGGACGACCAGCCACACUGGGACUGAGACACGGCCCAGACUCCUACGGGAGGCAGCAGUGGGGAAUUUUGGACAAUGGGCGCAAGCCUGAUCCAGCCAUGCCGCGUGCAGGAUGAAGGCCUUCGGGUUGUAAACUGCUUUUGUACGGAACGAAAAGGCUUUCUCUAAUAAAGGGGGCUCAUGACGGUACCGUAAGAAUAAGCACCGGCUAACUACGUGCCAGCAGCCGCGGUAAUACNUAGGGUGCAAGCGUUAAUCNGAAUUACUGGGCGUAAAGCGUGCGCAGGCGGUGAUGUAAGACAGUUGUGAAAUCCCCGGGCUCAACCUGGGAACUGCAUCUGUGACUGCAUCGCUGGAGUGCGGCAGAGGGGGAUGGAAUUCCGCGUGUAGCAGUGAAAUGCGUAGAUAUGCGGAGGAACACCGAUGGCGAACGCAAUCCCCUGGGCCUGCACUGACGCUCAUGCACGAAAGNGUGGGGAGCAAACANGAUUAGAUACCCUGGUAGUCCACGCCGUAAACUAUGAGAGCUAGCCGNCGGGCAGUAUACUGUNCGGUGCGCANCAAACGCAUUAAGCUCUCCGCCUGGGANUACGGUCGCAG